AAUCAACGCUGGCGGCGUGCCUCAGACAUGCAAGUCGAACGAUUAAAGCUCUCUUCGGAGAGUGUAUAGAGUGGCGCACGGGUGAGUAACACGUAAGUAAUCUACCUUCGAGUGGGGAAUACCGUCCGGAAACGGACGCUAAUACCGCAUAAUGCAUUAGCAUCGCAAGAUGCCAUUGUUAAAGAUUUAUCGCUUGAAGAGGAGCUUGCGGCAGAUUAGCUAGUUGGUAAGGUAACGGCUUACCAAGGCUACGAUCUGUAACCGGUCUUAGAGGACGGUCGGUCACACUGACACUGAAUAACGGGUCAGACUCCUACGGGAGGCAGCAGUCGGGAAUUUUGGGCAAUGGGCGAAAGCCUGACCCAGCAACGCCGCGUGAAGGAUGAAGUAUUUCGGUAUGUAAACUUCGAAAGAAUGGGAAGAAUCAAUGACGGUACCAUUUAUAAGGUCCGGCUAACUACGUGCCAGCAGCCGCGGUAA
rnacentral:rRNA from 1 species